CGUAGGGCGCAAGCGUUGUCCGGAAUUAUUGGGCGUAAAGAGCUCGUAGGCGGCUUGGUCACGUCGGGUGUGAAAGCCCGGGGCUUAACCCCGGGUCUGCAUUCGAUACGGGCUAGCUAGAGUGUGGUAGGGGAGAUCGGAAUUCCUGGUGUAGCGGUGAAAUGCGCAGAUAUCAGGAGGAACACCGGUGGCGAAGGCGGAUCUCUGGGCCAUUACUGACGCUGAGGAGCGAAAGCGUGGGGAGCGAACAGGAUUAGAUACCCUGGUAGUCCACGCCGUAAACGGUGGGAACUAGGUGUUGGCGACAUUCCACGUCGUCGGUGCCGCAGCUAACGCAUUAAGUUCCCCGCCUGGGGAGUACGGCCGCAAGGCUA
rnacentral:rRNA from 1 species